rnacentral:lncRNA from 1 species
GGGCCGGGGGCAGCUCCGUGGUCGAGGCACAGCGGGGACAGGGCUCGGCACGGGGGCAGCUCCCGGGGUCGGGGCACGGCGGGGACAGGGCUCCGGGGGCUCGGCACGGAGGCAGAGCGCCCGCAGGGUGCGGGUGGCGCGGCACCAGCCUCUCUUCCUCCUCCUCCUCCUCCUCCUCUUCCUCCUGCGCCCGCAAUCCAGCGAGGCACGGCGGCGAUACCGACCGGGCUCUCGGCAUGGAAAUAAUGACCUGGCUCGGUGGAAACAUCACCCUUCUCUUCGCAUAGUGGCUCCGGAAUGCGUGCGGAAUUUGAAGGUGGCAGGUGAGUGGUUUGGAGAGCCCUGGAGAAGGCACUGGACUGAGGAGCACCAUUUUUACUCAUGGACAUCACGACAGUCACAUGAAAUCUGCAGUUACAGUGUUUAGUAAUCUGCACGAGUUGGACUGACCUUGGCUGGAUAUCUGGUGCCCACCAAGAUGCUUUAUCAUUCCCCCUUUCUCGGUGUGACAGCGGAGAAAAACAAUGAUUAAAGGCUGGUGGGCGAGGUAAGGACAAAAAUAUCCCUCACACAUCACCAGCAUGGACAAGAUAGACAGCUCUGGGG